AUCAACCGGGUGCAUACCUGCAGCCUUGAGGAGCAGUACUGAGGCAGGAGGUGUCUUCAAGAUAAAGCAGGAUUUAAUUGAUGGAGUCCUGCUGCUAAAGGACUGCUAAAGGACGUGAACAGGAAGUCCUAUCGCUGGAUGUUUAUUGUCCGAAUUGCAAGGAUCUGGGAAUACAUGAGUACAGACCCUAUCGAAUUCUAUAGCUCUAUUCAUUGGCACACCAGUUGAUCAAUUUUGAGCUUUCAUAUCUACUUUGGACACCAGAUGGCACAUCAACAUUAUGUACCUGAAGCGAUCGCUACAGAAGGAAGGCCUAGCACGCGAUAACGGCGCCACGAGGAUUCUCUGUCGUGAGGAGUACCCCGACCCGUAUGAUGGCCACCGGAAGGUCACACACUUCUUUGGCUCGCUCCGACUGGCUCCAUUGACGACUUCUCUAAGGUGUAUUUGUUGGGUUCCUCUUGGCGUGUCGAACAAAAAUUGGCGUUCAGCACUGCUAUUUAAAGAUGGUUUGAUCAGUACUACAGAAAACCCAUAGAUUAUUGUAGGUAUCUAAGAAUGAUGAUGAUUACACUCGGAGCAAGCCUUGUUGCGGCGCUGCAAGUGUUGCCCUCCUCCUCCCCAAUGGCAAGGUGAAGGAAGGUGCCUGUGUGGUUCUUCUGCAGCUCGUAGCGAGGAUUGCUGUGUUCAACCUGCACAAGAAUGCCAAGAAGUCCUUCUCGGAGACGAUUAAGGACAUGUACCUGCACUACAACGAGAGAUCUGGGCUGCUUCUUUGUGGCUUCCAAACUUGAAAUGUUUGUUUGGAAGUUAGUUUAGUUUUUUGUUGUGGAUUCACAGCUUCUCACAUGUACCAUCCUCUUAGACCUUUAGAUUUCCAAAAAAACUAAAUGAAGAUAUGGUGGUAUGGUCUCAA